rnacentral:rRNA from 1 species
AUCAAAAACAUGUCUUUUUGAUUAAUAAUUUAAAGUCUGGUCUGCUCAAUGAUUAAUUAAAUAGACUGCAGAAUUUUAACUGUAGAUAAGGUAGCAUAAUAAAUUGUUUAUUAAUUGUAAAGCUGGAAUGAAUGAUUUAAUAAAAUAUUGUCUGUUUCAAAAAAAUUUAAAUUAUAAUUUAAUUUUUAAGUUAAAAAGCUUAAAUAUAUUUAAGGGACGAGAAGACCCUAUAGAUUUUUAUAUAAAUUUUUAAAAAUAAGGCUUAUUUAUUAUUUUAUUUAAUAAUUUAUAUUUAAAUGGGGUAGUUUAAAAAAUAAAUAAAUUUUUUUAAAUUAUAUACAAAUUUAAUUGAAAAGGGGAAUGAAUAAUUUUUUAUUUUAUCAAAUAAAAAUACCUUAGGGAUAACAGUCAUAAUAUUUUUUUUAAGAUCAUAUUUUAAAAAUCGAUUGGACCUCGAUGUUG